rnacentral:rRNA from 1 species
AAUUUUUUGCAAUGGGCGAAAGCCUGACAGAGCAAUACCGCGUGAUGGAAUUAGAAAGCCCAAAGGGUUGUAAACCUCUUUUGUUAAGGAAGAAAUUUUGAUGUUACUUAACGAUUAAGCAUCGGCUAACUCCGUGCCAGCAGCCGCGGUAAUACGGAGGAUGCAAGUGUUAUCCGGAAUCACUGGGCGUAAAGCGUAUGUAGGUGGUUUAUUAAGUUUAUUAUUAAAUCUUGAAGUUCAACUUCAAAACUGUACUAGAAACUAAUAAACUCGAGGAUAGUAGGGGUAAAGGGAAUUUCCAGUGGAGCGGUGAAAUGUGUAGAGAUUGGAAGGACCACCGAAGGCGAAGGCACUUUACUGGGCUAUUUCUGACACUAAGAGACGAAAGUAGGGGAGCAAAUGGGAUUAGAUACCCCAGUAGUCCUAGCCGUA